AUGUAUAUAUACACACAUCUCUAAAUUAGACCUUAGGGGCUCUCUAGUGGGGAGAUGGAGCAGACAGGCGACAUCUCGGAUUUUUUUCUUUUUGGAAAACGUGUAGGCAUUUUUAAAUUGGCAGUGGAAUGCCUUAGAAGUUUUAAAAGCCCACAUUAUUUUCCCGCAAAGAGGCCUGCCACAGACAUGAUAACAAAGCCAGGAUUUCGGCUGCUGCCAGAUGAGCGACCACAGGCAGCGGAGUUGGCCGGCUUGCUGGACCUGGUCAAGUGCACCCUGGCGUAUGCUUAAUGCCAAUUAGACAUGCGUGCGCUUUUAAUUAAGAGCAGCAUGAAUACUUAAUGCAAACCGGGGGCAGGAUGAGCGGCAGCAGCUGGCCAAGGCCAGUGCGGCGUAUGUGCGAUUUCUGUUUCUGUUUCAGUUCGGUUCAAGUAAAUAAACUUGAUGAAAAUUCAAGCCAAA